CGGGAGUUGGUACCUCCCGCUCUCUUGUUUACUUUGUGCACCUUUUUACGUAUUUUGUUUUUCCACCGGGAGUUGGUACCUCCCGCUCUCUUGUUUACUUUGUGAACCUUUUUACAUAUUUUAGCUAGCAUUUCGAGUGAGGUCUAUUCUGUUGCUAUCUAGUUUGUACCUUUUUGCGUAUUUCGCUAUAGUGCGUGUGUACGCCACUGUUCCCCAUAGUCGGUUGGAGGGAUAGUGGCCGUGGCGGGGGAUGAUAGCGCAAGGUCAUGUCCUCGGGGGUUGGGGGUGGUGGCGGGAGUGAGUAGGGGAGCAGGGGGUGGUCCUGCGGGUAGUGCGGGAGGUAAGGGUGGGAAGAGGGU
rnacentral:lncRNA from 1 species